rnacentral:lncRNA from 1 species
AUACCAAAAAAGAAACUUUUGGUGAGCAGUUCUGGCUCCGGCUGUGGCCUUGUUUAUUAUUUAUGCUGUAACCAAUGCUUCCCUAAUGGAAGGGUAAUGCUUGCCUAGCUACAUAAAAUAAUGCCUCAGUUUUCUCUGGGGAAUUAAUAAUUUGCUCAUGUCACCCCAAAGCUCUCACACGCUUGUGCGGUAGUUUUCCAAACAGUGAGCAGUGCGCCCCAAUGGCAUGGCAGAGAGAAUUCCCAAGCUGAGAAUCAGAAGACCUGCAGUUUUGUCUGGCUUUGCUAAGUGACUUUUGGAUCUUGGACUUCUGUUUUCACAUCUACAGAAUUAUGCCAUUGAAUAACAUGUUCUCUAUGCUUUCUUCUAGCGAAAAACUCUCUUAAUUCUUUUUCUAGAAUCAUGAAAUUGAGUUGGCAGUCUUUGCUUGGUCAGAGCCUGAUGUUUCCUGAAUUUAGAACUUGGUUCCCCCGAGACCCUCUGGACUAAUUUAAAAUGAUUCAUCCGCGUGAGUCAUUGCCCUGCUGCCUUCAGGACAAGAUGUCUAUCUAUUGUCUUGCUGCUACCAUUUUUUACAAAUAACUCCAGCUCAGCAGCUGCAGACUCGAGACCCUGCACCUGGUGACAUCGGCCGGAAGACAUCAGCUGGCUCUCUGCAGACACACCUGGAGGGAGGGUUUGGGAGGAAGGGGGCUGGGGCCUCCGGUCUGACCACCUCUGAAACACCAUCCCAGGCUGUCUCUGAGGUUCAUGUGGUUUGGGUCAGAUUCUCAGUAGAAUGAGAGGCAUUUCAGGGACCUUCCAAGUCCUGAAAGAAGCCACUGGGCAAAUAAUUGGGUGUCACAUUCCUUUUAGAGCCAGAAGGAAACAACAUCCUAUCAGAAGGAAGGGGAAUUUCCUGCCAUGAAAAGGAAUCUUAGAGCAAAACCGAGUCAUGGUUUUGCCCGAAUUUUAAAAUCCUGUUGCUUAUAUGGAAGCAUAUGGGUCCUAACAAUUUCUCUUUCAAAAUCCUCAUAGUGAAUGACAUUAUGGCCAUGUUUCUCCCUCAAGUGUGUCUUAAAAAUGCAUCUAGAGUCUAACUAUAAAGGCAUCAUUCAGUUGUAAUAAUUAACAUCUUAUUUGCAUUCAGUACAAUUCUAAGUUCCACAUAAGUGUCUAAUCUGGUGAUGGGCGUUGUAUGAUUGCUAAGUAAAUAUUUGCCGUUGGUUAUAAAGAAUGAAUAAGAUGGGCACGGCCCUGUUUUCCUGUUGUCGUAGCCCAGGGUUGCCUUCUCUAUAAACUAUGUGUGACUGCAGCUGAAUCAGUGAAGCCAUCACCACCGGCCUCAUGCAUCACUGUCCUGUGGACCUGUGAGUAGUUCCAACACUCCCAUGUGGUCAGCCUGCUUUACUUGAAACUCAGUUACAUAAACCUGUUGAAGAUAAUGCUGCUAUGUGAUUGCUGACAACUUUCCAAAUGCCCUGUUUGCUGCUCAAGCUGAUGUUCCCAAGGAGAGAGUUGCAAGUAUUGGAGGAAGCACCACCCUCAGGGAAUGAGCUUGCAAUCUGCUUCUCUGUGGCCCUGGGUCAGUCCCAAUGUGAGCAUGCCAAAGAGGACCCAGGCUGACGUUGGGGUUUCCAUCCGUUCAGAAUGACUUGAUCCUUCCCUACCAAUUAGAACUAAUUAGGGUCUCUGGGUGCCAUGAAGAUCACGAGAAAUGCAGAGUCUACUCCUGAAUUGCUUUGUUUCAUCAAAUGUCUGUGGCUAGAUAUCAACUAGGGUUGCCAUUUCCUGCUUCAGUUCAAAUCAGACCGAUAAUUGCGUUCUGCAGUUGUCUCCAGCUAGCUGGUCCUCCCUUCCAGGCCCUCUCUCUGCCAGUCUGCUCUGUGCUUCAGGAGAAUAAUCCUCCUGCCAUAGAUUGAUGGAUGCCUGCACACUGCUUUCACUUCCCAUUUUAAGACCUCAUCCCUCCAGGCAGCCUCCCUUGGUUUGGAAUCUUGGCUGUGAAUUGCCAAACCUCAAGCCCCCUGCAGACUUACUUAGCUCUGCGUCCCUAUAACAUCCCAUAGCUCCAGCCGUAUCCGUCUGCAUCCCAGCCCGCAGUGCGGUCAAGAGCUGUAAAGUCACUUCUCUCCUUCUGGCUGGUUGUUUAUGUGGACUGACUGUCCUGCUGGCUGCCUUUGCUGAUGAGAGUGUUGCCUUCCACAGAGAUCAGGCCACCUGGGAGAGCCACUUCUGUCCACCCAUCCCUGAGGGGAUGCUUCUCCGUCCCUUCUGCAUGCCUCCUGCACUCGGUGGCUGUGCUCUGGGAGAGUUACCCUGCGAUCUACACUUUCGGCUGCACCACCCUCUGCAGUGAAGAGUGUCUAAGGUUUCCCUACUGCACAGAACACUCGAGAUCCGUGGUGUGACAGGAAGAGCUUUCCAGCUGCGUGGCCUUGGGCCGUCUUACUCUCUGGGCCUCAGUUUCCUCAUUGGUAGCAUGGAGCACUGAAAGCUACGAACAGGAGCUGUGAGGGUGAAUGGAGGAUUCAUGCCAGAGCCUGGUGGGAUGCCCCUGCAGAGCAGAUGCUCAGGAAACCCUCCUGCCAGCUCCUGGGGAGCACGGGAGGCGCUGGCUCCUUAGUUCUCUAUGGAAGGACGGUUCUGCACCAGAUAUUAUUAUUAGAGUCUCUUAUUUGGAAUUCUGGACUUGUGUGCUCGACAGGGGCCUCAAGUCCCCAGUGUCGCUCAAUAGUGACAAACCCAAAUAAAAGAUCCUGGCAAAUGAUUAGCAGCCUUUCCUGCUGCUGUGCUCAUAAACGCUGUUGCUAUUUUUGGGCCAGCAUUGUUCAACCUGGAUUUAGUUCUCCUUUGCUGUCUAUUUUGGCUCUGACCUGCUCUGAAAGGGCAGGCUCCACGCCGGGUGUCACGCCCAAUGGCUUCUCCACGGUCUUUGUCCAAAUGGACUCAGUGAGGAUAUCACCAGCGGAAAAGUAAAAGAUGAGAGGACUUGAAAAAAAUAUCUUCCAUUCAGAAUCUUUUUAAAAAUAUACUUUCAAACAAAGAGGUAUUAUAGAAAGCAUUUUGCUUUUUCGUUUAAAGCUAAAGAAAAUCAGAGUCACCUAGAAAUGUGAGUUACUGGAGGAAGAGAGGAAUGGUUAAGAUCAUUCUACAGUGUCUAUAUGUACUUAUAUAUCCCAGUGUCUGUGUGUACAUGCGUGUAUGUCUGUGUAUGUAUGUGUGUCUGUGUGUGUCUCUCCAUGUGUCUGCCUAUAUAUCUGCAUGUGUAUACGUGUGUAUGUAUAUCUGUGUAUGUACAUGUGUAUAUAUGUGUAUGUCCGUGUGUGUCUCUGUGUGUCUCUGUGUGCAUGUAUGUGUAUAUGUGUGUCUGUAUGUAUACAUGUAUGUCUGUGAGUCUCUUUGUGUGUCUGCCUGCAUAUCUGCGUGUGUGUGUGUAUGCUCUGUGUGCGUUUGUAUAUGUCUGUGUGUCUGUGUAUACACAUGUGUGUCUGUGAGUCUCUCUGUAGGCGUCUCUCUGUGUGUCUGCCUGCAUAUCUGCAUGUGUGUAUGUGUGUAUGGUCUGUGUGUGUUUGUAUGUGUGUCUUUGUGUCUAUGUGUAUUCAUGUGUUUCUGUGGGUCUCUCUGUGUGUCUGCUGCAUAUGUGCAUGUAUGCAUGUGUGUAUGGUCUGUGUGUGUUUGUAUGUGUGUCUGUGUGUCUAUGUGUACGCAUGUGUGUCUGUGAGUCUCUCUGUGUGUCUGCCUGCAUAUCUACAUGUGUGUAUGUGUGUAUGGUCUGUGUGUGUUUGUAUGUGUAUCUGUCUGUGUCUGUGUGUAAUUCUUUAUCUCCUCCGUUUUCUGAGCAGGCUGGUCCUUUGAAUCCCAGGAGAUAAUUUUUCCUUAUACUUACUAGAGGAGUCUGUCAAUACAGUAGAAGCACAAUGUAAAUGGGGGAUUAACACCUUGAGAUAAUUUGAAUCCACUGUCAUUCACCCUUUCUGAAAUGCACAAGCUUGCAGGCACCUACCCUCCUGCUACAGGACAGAAAAAAACACGGUGGUUUUAUUUCCAUUUCUUAUCACACGGUGUCCACUGCCUGAGCUGCACAGGGAGGCAUUUUGUCAUUUCACUGUAGGGGUCUCCUGUGGCCCCGAAUCUCAUGUGUUUGUGUCCCUAGGAGCUGCAGCCCCAACCAUGUCAUGAAGAGGGGUCGGCACGGGGGCUUCUGGCUGUGGCACACACACGUGUUAACCUAUAAGGCUCACUUCCUGCCCACAAGGGUCAGAGUGUUGUUUUUUUUUUUUUGAGACGGAGUCUCCCUCUGUCGCCCAGGCUGGAGUGCAGUGGCGCGAUCUGGGAUCACUGCAAGCUCCGCCUGCCGGGUUCACGCCAUUCUCCUGCCUCAGCCUCCUGAGUAGCUGGGACUACAGGAAUCUGCCACCACACUCGGCUAAUUUUUUGUAUUUUUAGUAGCGACGGGGUUUCACCGUGUUAGCCAGGAUGGUCUCAAUCUCCUGACCUUGUGAUCCACCCGCCUCGGCCUCCCAAAGUGCUGGGAUUACAGGCGUGAGCCACUGCGCCCUGCUGAGAGUUUUUUAUUGAUCAUUCAGUGAUUCUGAAGGGAAGACAGUUCUACUCUCACUGCCAGUGACAGCACAGCCCAGGAGAGCAAGGGCAGGCUCCUCUCCAGGUGUGGCUGCUCUCCAUGGCCUGGGUCAUAGUCUGGAGAUGACUGAAGAGUUAGUCUUGGGGCUGUUGCUUGUGAGAACUGGAGAGGUGUGUGUCAUUAUCUGAAUCGGCCAGGCCCACGCCAGGGUGAACUGGGCUUACAGGAAAUGCAGUCACAGAACAUUCGAGGAUCCUGAAUGCAAACACUCUUGGAUGAUCCAGAAGUAGUUCAAUCCACAGGGCUGGAGUGUAGUGGCGUGAUCUCGACUCCCUGAAACCAACUACUCUGUUUUUUGAAUUCUUGCUUCUUCACGUCAGUGCAGUGCGAGAUGCAUGGUGAAAGGCACACCUGUGAAUCCCAAGAAGCUGGAUGUUAUCUGUACCCUUUUCCCACUGGCAUCUGGAAGAACCUAAGUUAAGGAAAGAUGUUUGCUGCACUCUCUUGUUUUUUUAUGUUUAUGAUGCUAACCCAUGCUAGUCACUAUUGCUUUGAGCUAUGGUCUGAGUGUCUACGUCCCCUUCAAAAUUCUUAUGUUGAAAUCCUAACCCCCAAGGUGAUCGUAUUAGGAGGUGGGGCCUUUGGAAGGUGAGGAGGACUUGAGGGUGGAGUGCUCAUGAAUGGAAUAAGUGCCCUCCUAAAACAUUGGUCGGGGGACAUCCUCACCCUUUCCACCAUAUAAGGACACAGUGAGAAGGAGCCAUCUAUGAGCCAGAAAUUCAGCCCUCACCACACAGAACCUGCCAGUGUCUUCAUCGUGGACUCCUUAGCCUCUGGAACUGGGAUAAAUAAAUUUCUGCUGCCUAUCAGCUACCUGGUUUAUGAUAUUUUGUUAUAGCAGACCAAAGACACCAUAUGACACAUUAUCCCUUAAAUUUAGUAACUUAAGGCAACAAUUCUAUUUUUUCUUAUGAUUUGGUGGGUCAGAACCAUGGGAAAGACUCAAGUGCACGGUUCUUAGCUGGGGUCUGUCAUGCAAUUGCAGUGAGGUAUCAGCCAGGGCGGUUGUCAUCUGAAGGCUGGACUGUGGCUCAGACACAGGCUGGGCAUCUGAUGCAGCCUGUUGGCUGGAGCUCAGCUGGGGCUGUUGACUGGAGCACCUACAGCAACCUCCCAGAAAGGUGCUCUCAAGGUCAUUGGACUUAUUACAUGCUGCUAGCUUUUGCCCGAGCAAACAUCUCAAGCAUAUCAUGUAUGGGAUAAGGGCUGCACAGCUUUUUCUGACCUCCUAUUGGAAGACCUACAGUGUCACAUCCAACAUAAUCUGUUGGUUGAAGCAGACACACAUUCAGCCAGGGUCAAAGCAAAAAAAAAAAAAAAAAAAAAAAACAUAGAUCCCUGCGUCCCAGUGGGAGAAUUAUCAAAUAAUUUGGUACUUUUUAAGUAGUUGUGAAGAAUAUUAUGUUAUGCAC